GAAGCUAGUUGUAUUAUUAGUUAAUGCAAGAUCGACUAUGUCGACUAAAGUUCUAGGUAGAAUAAUGAUGAUGACAAUUUUUUACUAUAUGUCUUGACCAAGUCUCGUGCCAGCAGUCGCGGUAAUACGUGGAAGACUAGUGUUAUUCAUCUUUAUUAGGUUUAAAGGGUACCUAGACGGUAUUUCUAGCCCAAAGUAGGGUACGGAUUUACUAGAGUUUUAUGUGAGGAGGGGAGUACUCGUGGAGUAGAGAUGAAAUUUUGUUAUACUAUGAGGUAACUGGUGGCGGCGAAAGCAACCUUCUAUGUAUAAACUGACGUUGAGGGACGAAGGCUUGGGUAGCAAAUAGGAUUAGAUACCCUAGUAGUCCAAGCAGACAAUUCUGAAUGCCAUAGAUUAGAUUAUUUUUGGUCUAUAAAUGAAAGUGUAAGCAUUCCACCUUAGGAGUAAUGUGGCAACACAGGAACUGAAAUCAUUAGACCGUUUCUGAAACCAGUAGUGAAGUAUGUUAUUUAAAUUGAUGGUCCACAAAAAACCUUACCACAACUUGAAUAUUUUUUAAUUAAUACAAGCGUUGCACGGCUGUCUUCAGUUAAUGUCGUGAGAUUUUGGUUAACUCCAUUAAUUAACGUAAACCCUUACUUUAUUU
rnacentral:rRNA from 1 species